rnacentral:rRNA from 1 species
AGCGAACGCUGGCGGCAGGCCUAACACAUGCAAGUCGAACGGAUCCUUCGGGAUUAGUGGCGGACGGGAGAGUAACACGUGGGAACGUGCCCUUUGGUUCGGAACAACUCAGGGAAACUUGAGCUAAUACCGGAUGUGCCCUUCGGGGGAAAGAUUUAUCGCCAUUGGAGCGGCCCGCGUCUGAUUAGCUAGUUGGUGGGGUAAAGGCCCACCAAGGCGACGAUCAGUAGCUGGUCUGAGUGGAUGAUCAGCCACAUUGGGACUGAGACACGGCCCAAACUCCUACGGGAGGCAGCAGUGGGGAAUCUUGCGCAAUGGGCGAAAGCCUGACGCAGCCAUGCCGCGUGAAUGAUGAAGGUCUUAGGAUUGUAAAAUUCUUUCACCGGGGACGAUAAUGACGGUACCCGGAGAAGAAGCCCCGGCUAACUUCGUGCCAGCAGCCGCAGUAAAAC